GUCCACCUCCUCCAACCACCAGCCCAUCCACCACAACCCCAAGUCCACCUCCUCCAUCCACCACAACCCCAAGUCCACCUCCUCCAACCACCAGCCCAUCCACUACAACCACAGCUCGUCCGGUAACAGUCGUUGAUAAUUUCUUCGUGAAGUGUUCUCACGACAAUCAGAGACCCGAGAAGCCAUGGCCAACGAAGCGUUAUUGUCAGGCGUUCGCCCUGUGCUCGCCGACUGGACAGUUCCUCGGUGAGUUGGACUUGUGUGAUUUCUAUUUCACGUGUCGCCUGCAAGCCAACGGGACGUGGACAGCCGAGUUGGAGAGAUGCUCCGGAAACGAUCUCUUCGACUACGAUAAAGACAAAUGUGUCUCCCGCCCUGCAGACGAGUCUCUAUGUGGAUGACUACAUAUAAUCUCCAGGUUCUGAACAUAGAGAAAAUGACGAAAAGAGAUUCAAUCGGCGGUCGAAAACAUGGUUUCAGCCCAACACAGGGAGGAGCUGAUAGAGAUUUUGUGAUGAAAAUUGAAAAUUGCGAUUUAUUGCGGAUUCUCUACCUAUGUUUCAUGAGUCUGGUAUGCCCUUCUCUUUUCCCUUUUUAAACUUGUUUUCGUUUUUCACCCUUUCGCUUUUUUGUUUUUUUGUUAUGUGAUAAUGAGAUAUAUCUAGAUUUGAAUACAGAUUAUAUGCUGGUACAUAUUGAUCUGUCUCUGUUUUUGUUUGUUUGAUAUAUAUUUAUCUAUUUAUCGUAUGCAUAAUUACAUGUGCGCGCGCAUACACACACGCACACACACACACACAUACACACACACACAAACACUAAUG